rnacentral:rRNA from 1 species
UACAGAGGGUGCGAGCGUUAAUCGGAGUUACUGGGCGUAAAGGGCGCGUAGGCGGUCAGACAAGUGAGAUGUGAAAUCCCUGGGCUUAACCUAGGAAUUGCAUUUUAGACUGUAGGACUAGAGAGCAGUAGAGGGUGGCGGAAUUUCCGGUGUAGCGGUGAAAUGCGUAGAGAUCGGAAGGAACAUCAGUGGCGAAGGCGGCCACCUGGACUGACACUGACGCUGAGGCGCGAGAGCGUGGGGAGCAAACAGG